rnacentral:rRNA from 1 species
GCUUAACACAUGCAAGUCGAGCGGAGAUGAGGUGCUUGCACCUUAUCUUAGCGGCGGACGGGUGAGUAAUGCUUAGGAAUCUGCCUAUUAGUGGGGGACAACAUUCCGAAAGGGAUGCUAAUACCGCAUACGUCCUACGGGAGAAAGCAGGGGAUCUUCGGACCUUGCGCUAAUAGAUGAGCCUAAGUCGGAUUAGCUAGUUGGUGGGGUAAAGGCCUACCAAGGCGACGAUCUGUAGCGGGUCUGAGAGGAUGAUCCGCCACACUGGGACUGAGACACGGCCCAGACUCCUACGGGAGGCAGCAGUGGGGAAUAUUGGACAAUGGGGGGAACCCUGAUCCAGCCAUGCCGCGUGUGUGAAGAAGGCCUUAUGGUUGUAAAGCACUUUAAGCGAGGAGGAGGCUACUGAGACUAAUACUCUUGGAUAGUGGACGUUACUCGCAGAAUAAGCACCGGCUAACUCUGUGCCAGCAGCCGCGGUAAUACAGAGGGUGCGAGCGUUAAUCGGAUUUACUGGGCGUAAAGCGUGCGUAGGCGGCUUUUUAAGUCGGAUGUGAAAUCCCCGAGCUUAACUUGGGAAUUGCAUUCGAUACUGGGAAGCUAGAGUAUGGGAGAGGAUGGUAGAAUUCCAGGUGUAGCGGUGAAAUGCGUAGAGAUCUGGAGGAAUACCGAUGGCGAAGGCAGCCAUCUGGCCUAAUACUGACGCUGAGGUACGAAAGCAUGGGGAGCAAACAGGAUUAGAUACCCUGGUAGUCCAUGCCGUA